UUCAAACUUUAACUAAUACGUUACUAAAACAAUGUUUUAUUGUUUUAAUAACAUAUUAUUAUUAUUUAUUUAUUAUGAUUUACCACAACUGGUGCCCCACCCCACUGUUAAGCCAUUGGUGGUCGGGCCCCUGCAGAGUGGCACCUCCGCUGCCGGGGAUGUCCUUUAUUUUUCUGCUUGAAAGGUGGCAACCCUAGCCACAACCUCCACAAGCGCAUAAACAUGGGCGUAAACAGCAGCAUGCUGUGAAUGAUGGUGAGCCAGAAUCCAAGUCUCGUGUUUUUACUCUGUAGCCCUUUAACUGGUUUCAAAACGGUUGAGUGCAUUACAAAUAACAUUUAUUAUGUUUCUAUUAUUAGACCUGGAUGAGGAUGAGAAAGGACGUGCAGAGCCCAGGGCAGAACCUAGAAAUGCUGGAUGUGGAGAGCUCCAUUUACCCCAAACUUAGUCCAGUUUCAGGGUGAAGAUGAUGAAUUGCAAGAUGAGCGAAUGGAUUGGCAGCCACUGGAUUAUGUAGAGCAGUACAUUGACUCAGAGUUAAUGAAGCUCCUUACUGACUGUACCAAUGCCAUGUCGCAGGCUAACAGUGGGAGAUCUCUCAACACUUCAGUUGAUGAGAUCUAUCCCUUUUUUUGGAGCAGCAAUCUUGAUGUCUUGUGUACCUUACCCAAAACAAGGAUGUUUUGGUCCAAUGCCCUACGAAUCCCUGCCAUUAGUGAGACAAUGUCGUGUCACAAUGUGAUCGGUUCUUCAAACUGCGGAGCCAUCUGAAAGUGGUCAUCGCUGAUGAUGUUCCUGAAGACAAGAGGAAAACUGAUAAAUUCUGGAAGCUCUAGGUCACAUCCUGAAGACUGAGGUCUACCUUACUGGUACAGGGUUGAAGACCUGGGUCCCAGAAGCAAUGAAAAAGCUAACGGAUGACAAAACCCUGAUUCAGCAAGGAAGAGCCAGAAGACACCUGCCAGUGGUGGUCCAAGAAAGACAAAAGAUACGUGACCCUCAAUUGACCAAGUGUUGUACGUG